rnacentral:rRNA from 1 species
UACGUAGGGACCGAGCGUUGUCCGGAAUCAUUGGGCGUAAAGAGCGUGUAGGCGGCUUGCUAAGUCUUGCGUGAAAUCUCGGGGCUCAACCCCGAGCGGUCGUGGGAAACUGGCAGGCUAGAGUGCGGGAGAGGAGAAUGGAAUUCCUGGUGUAGCGGUGAAAUGCGCAGAUAUCAGGAAGAACACCCGUGGCGAAGGCGGCUCACUGGCCCGAUACUGACGCUGAGGUGCGAAAGCGUGGGGAGCAAACAGG